GGGCGCAUAGCUCAGCUGGGAGAGCACCUGCCUUACAAGCAGGGGGUCAUAGGUUCAAGCCCUAUUGCGCCCACCA
rnacentral:tRNA from 1 species